CCAUUUUCUCACAUUUGACAUCAAGUAUUUUUUGAACCAUACACAACAUGGAUGCAUAGUUUCCGAAUUUCGAUUUCAAAUUUCCUCGGAGUUAUUUUGUAAGAAAUUGAUGGAAUCUGAAAAAAGGUUAGAAAUAGUCUCUAUGUACCAUUAAUUUCUAAGCCAGUCGACGAAAAUGGUUGUUUACCAUGAUACCUUCCCAUGCGUAUGUUGGAUAGUUUUUCCGAUAUCAUAUUUUGAUAUAUGUACCCUAAAAUAUCAUCAAAUUGAUUAUUCACUUCAAGAUUUUGCUCAACGAAUUAGGUACAAAAUGCAGGGAUCCACUCACGUGAUAUACACAGUACCUACAUAAAUUCUGAAGGAACAUACCGGGUUAUUCAAAACUAAAAUAAAAUCUGGAAACUAUUGAUAUUGCUAACUAAUUAUAUGGCAAAUAUAUGGUUUCGGGAUAUUGAAAACACAAAAAUUGAUAAUAAUGGUUAUUUUGACAGUAGAAACAAGAAAAUUUAGUUGUAGGGGUUUUUUCUUGAAAAUAAGAAUUCUUAUAUAACUCGUUUUACUGUAGAUUAUAGCCUUCUAUAAUUCCUUCUAUAAUCCCAAACAAGAGACCUAUCCUGUCAGGUAAAAAAUGUAUUUUUGCUCAAAAACCUUCUUUUGGAGAUUUUCGUUUCACAUAAUGGAAUUGCAAUUUAUGCAUCUUCGAAUGGCGGACAUAGAUUUUGUAUUUCCUAUAGCGAGUAAGCUUCUGUCAAAUAAUAUCACUCACUUCCCUGUUUUUAAUCACAAUACCAAACUUUACUUUCACACCAUGGACUGUGUAGCGUUCAAUUUCAUUGCAGCACAAAAUACUUCGUAUAGUAAUUUGGGUUGCCUACUGAUUUCGAGUUCGACGAAUUUAAAUUAUCUCGGGGAAUGUUUAUCGGUUUUUUUUUUCCAUAUGUGCCAGAUACGGUAAUUUCCUUCAAGAAAGAAUUUACUUUCGUACUUCGAAAUUGGGAAAGUAGAUAUUUCGAUUUAUUCUGUGGAAAUCCAAGAGUUUUGGGAUAAAAAUAUUUUCCUGAUUUCUUUCAAUAUUGUAUUGCGAGUUGGUUAUUUGAUGAAGCAAUAUAAUACCCAAAUUUGGGGAUCAUUGGAGUGUAUUGAAAGAGUAUCUUUCUCCAUUAGGCCACACAACAUCAAAGUGAGUUUUUUUUCAUACAUUCGUUAAUAGUUUAUAUCUUCAUCUAGAACGAUUAAUAUCGUACAUCCCAUUGUUCUAGGGCCUUUUUUUUCCCGACUUUUUCUUCUUGAGUUUACGUUUGGAAUAUAACGUAAAAUAUAAGAGUGCUGUCGACAGAGAAUUCAAUUUACCUAAGAUCCAAGAACAUCAAGGAUACUGAACGAGCGCUGCAGAUUUUUGGUUUAUGUUCAAUUUUUGUCUUCACGAGUUUGGACUCACAGGAUUGAGAAUUGGUGACGUAGUUUUAAUAAUAGUUUCAAUCCUGCUGUUCAUCAAACUGAUUGAAUAUAGGAUUCCUAGAAUAACUAGGCACUUAUAUUGACCAUACUCUGCCCAUAGGUUUCAACACUCGAAACGUCGUAAAACUUUUUUUUAUGACAUGUUUGGGAGUUUAUCGCCAUUUCGAAUAUUCUGAAGAUAUUGAAGUUUUCCUGAAGAAAUUUGUCCAGAAGAAUUAUUCAGAGGAGUGUGACCCACUGGUUUCACCAUUUCACCGGUGAAAAUCACCGCAACUCAUAAAGCAAGAUACUCCAAAUCUUCGUCGUAAUAGCGAUAUAUGAUUUGUAGUUUCACAUCGGAGGCAAUUUUCCUAAAAAUACUGUCUUCAACAUUUUCCCCACGGUGUUUUCUCAGAGCGAUGUGUUUAAUGAAGGUGGUGAU